CUAACUGUCAGUUAACUAAUUUCUUUGACAUGAGUGAUGCAGCUUUUAAUAAUGUACUAUUGCUGGCUAGGCUUUUAAAAAUUUAAUAUUCAUAGGGAGGCUUAUUCAAUUUUAAUUAAAACAUAAUAUUGUAGGCCAUUUUAAAAGUGAAUCUCAAAAAUAAUUCCUGGAUUUUCUUCUCAAAAAGAAUACAGAAGGUCAUGUUAAUUAAAUUUAGGGAUAAAAGGCUUGGCUUGUUUUUUUCUUUUUUUCUUCUUUGUUAAAUAUUAUUGUCACACUAUUGCUAAUCUGCCUAAAAGUUCUUGCAAUAAGGUAUUGAUAAAUUCCACUUUCCAGGAGCCAUGCAUAAUAGUAAAACAUUCAGUAGGAAGAUGGAGAUAUUGUUUGUCUUAUUACCAAGUAGCGUUUGUAGAUCCCAUCUUCAGAAUUAAGCUGUGAUCCUGGACAUGAGACCUUAGUUUAUAUCCUCCCCACUCCCAGCAGUAGCCAUUGAUGUUUAUUGCCAUUCUGAUUAAUUUAAAGUUAGAGGAGAUUUCAGCAUGAGUAACUCUAUUGCUUGUUAGUAUUAUUUGCAAGAAGCUUUAAACAUCAUGCCCCUUAUAAAUUAAACUCUUAUUAUGACUUCAAAAUCUGUUUUGGAAUGCCUGUUAGCUAACUAAUUCUCUGAUUCCAAUAGGUUUUGAUCAUACAGAUAAGAACUUGCUGCAUUUUUUUCUUUUUUUUAAUUUGGUCCAACUUGUGUGCCUCUCAUUUUUCAAUGGUUGUGAAUUGCUUUGGAAACUUGCCUGAGAUUAACUUGACCACGUGGUCAGCCACAUCUUGCUAAUCAGCCUUUUAUCGCAAGAAGGAAUAGCCUAGUCAAAAAUCAUGUUAUUGGAGACUUUGUGCAUCUAUUUGAUGUUAAUAAAAUUAGACCCAGUGUUGACUUUGGCAUCAUAGUUAAAAUAAUCUAAUGGGGCCAUUCAUUUCUCUGGGCAAAUGGUGACCAAACUCUUGGAUUUUUAGCCUCGAAUCACAACAUUGUCAGUCAGAAGAUUAACUUUCCAUCAGCCUGCAGAGCUCCAGGGCUGCAGGGGAGUUUGGCAGUGACCCAGGGAAACAGCCAGGUGGUAGGGAAAGGGGAAGAAGACAAGAAAAAAAUAAAAAUUAAAGCUAGGCUUGUACACUGAAAAAUCAGUCUAAUCCUUUUGAUUUCUGGCCCGUGGGCUGCUGCUGAUUUGCUAAAGAGGUCUGCAAAUAAGUGUGUGCACCAAGCAUUGUGGACACAUGAGUAAACGAUGUGUCCUGCACACAUAGGUGGUUUUCACAAGUAUAUAGAUACCAUGAUGAUUCAUUUUUAAACAUUUAUUUCAAAGUAAAAUCAUAACAAUUUUUUGUGUGUGUUGGUGCAUUUUCUCAAAGAGGAGAUGCUAAACCUACAAAUACAUCAUUCGAGUAUUUGUAUGAAAGUGUCCUCAUUUUGAAAACAAAUGACAAAUAGUAGUAGUCUAUCUGUCGCACCCCCACCUGCAACCUCCUCUCCCCGCCCACACCACACAGCUCCCAGGCUUCCAGACUGACACCAGACUUGUCUUUACCCUAUUUCUGGAUUUUUCCUCCUUCUCUCCGAACCCCAUGGCAAGCUGGGAUUGUCCCUUCUUCCUUAGGAAGUGGUCCUCACACUGCAAGUUUCUCCCCAGUUAGCUUUAAGGGUAUUAAAGCUGACCUUCCCUGGGUUAUACCCCAGGUUAUAGAGUGAUGGAAUGUUCUAAAUUAAAGUUAAAGAUGAUCUGUGCAACCCCCUUAUUUUCUAGGAGCACUGAAGCUUAAAGAGGUACACAAGGCUACCCGCUGGCAAGCAGGGAAUCCUGAUGAGACACGGGCUUUCUUACUCCCAGUCCUAUCUAGGCUCUUUACAUUAAAGUGUCCCUUUUAACUUUAGAAAAAUCAAUGAUAUGGAAUAAAAGGAAAGUUUAACAACAAUAACAACAAAAAAAAAAAAAAGGGAAAGGAAGGAAGGAAGGGAGAAACAGAAAGUUUAAUAAGACUGGGCAUUUUUCCACUAUUUCUCUUAGCUAUUUUGUUCUCUGCAGUAUAAGUAACAUAGGGCCCAUAACUGCUUUUCUCCCUACAGGUCUCUGUUUCCAUGUGCCAUUUUUAGUGUGGUCAUCUCACUGUAUUUAGUGUGAUUCAAAAUUAGUUGUCUCAAAAUUCAUAUAUUUUCUCUCUUUUUUUCAGAAUUUAUUUAUCUAUUUAGACCAAGAGAUAGGGAGACUGGGGCGAGGAACAGAGGGAGAAGUUUUAGAAGUGAGUCAUGCAAAACAGACAAACAAACAAACAAACAACAACAACAGGGAAUUUGGACAAGAGCAUGGGACAGCCUUUUCCUUUUAGCAUCCAGAAGGGUCACACAGCAAGUCAACUGGAUUUUAUUUAUUUAUUUGACAACCCGAGACCACAAGUAGGAAGUGGGGGAGGGGGGGAGCAGGCUCCCUGCUAAGCAGAGAGCCAGAUGCUGGGCUCCCUCCCAGGACUUGAGAUCAUGACCUGAGCCAAAGGCAGAGGCUUUAACCUACUGAGCCACCCAGGCACCACAUCACAGUGACUACUUUUUAAUAUUGAUGACAUAUUCUAUGCCAUUAAUGUUUUCAAAAAUUGUGACUAUUGAAUAUUUUCAAUGUUUUACUCAAAAAUUAUGGUUGUUUUUCUUAAUUAACAUAGUGCUUCAAUGUAUUAUAAUAAUAAAAUAUGCAACAUUGAUUCUUUUUACAUUCCUGAAAUAAGACCUACCUGAUGAAUUUUUUAUGCAACAUCAAAUUCUAGAUUUUAUUUGUGAUUUUUAAAAGUCAUAUUUAUUUGGACAUAUGUUGAUAUCAUUGCCAGAAUAUGGUAUUUUGUUUAUUUCUAAAAUACUGUUAUAUUGUGUUUAUUACAUAAUUUUAUUUAAUAUUUGCUAAUUAUGUUAUUAGACAUUUGCUGUUAUUCUAUUUUUCCAAUAUUUUUCUUUUUAAUUAAUUUUAUUAUCUAGUUUUUUCCUUUUUAAAAUUGAUCUUAUUUUCUUUUUCUAAAAUUUAGUUUAUUUGCA